UACGUAGGUGGCGAGCGUUGUCCGGAUUUAUUGGGUUUAAAGGGUGCGUAGGCGGCCCUGUAAGUCAGUGCUGAAAUAUCCCGGCUUAACCGGGAGGGUGGCAUUGAUACUGCGGGGCUUGAGUGGAGUCGAAGUAGGCGGAAUUGACGGUGUAGCGGUGAAAUGCUUAGAUAUCGUCAAGAACACCGAUAGUGAAGACAGUUUACUAGGCUUUUACUGACGCUGAGGCACGAAAGUGUGGGGAUCAAACAGG
rnacentral:rRNA from 1 species